GCCUGACGUGCAACUUGAGAGACAAACACACUCCAGCAUGGAACAAAUUGGGAGAACAGGGCCCUGGAUAAACACGUCUUGGGAAGGCAAGGAGAACCUAGGCAACGAGAGGCCUGAUCAGAGCGGAGGCCUUCAUCAGGCAGGAGUGGUUUUAUGCCAGCCUGUCUACGGAGGACCCUGGCCAGCACAGACCCUAGCCGUCUGAGCAGGGUGCCAGAGGAAAUCACAGCUGGCAGGGAAAGGGUGUUUCCAGACUGCGGUCCUCAGAACUGUCCUUGUCAAGGCCCGGAAGACUGGCGUUCUUCACGCGAUGCUCUCAAAAGGCACGACACGAGUGAGAGAUGCUGAUCGCCAGCCAUGGAAGAUGGCGUUGAGCCUAGGGAGUGACUAGGCAUGGAAGUAAAGUUCCUCCCCUCAAGAUAUGGGGUCUUCUUCCCUACUCCUUGAAUCUGGGCUGUCUACGUGACCGGCAUUAGCCAACGGAACAUCGACAGGGGAGACACAGGCAGAGGUUCGAAAAGGACUUCCGCUUUGGGGCUCGUCCUCUCGCCCCACUGAGAACCAUGAGACCGUCAUGUGCAUGAGCCUGAACUAACCUGCUGGAGAGGUUCCAGGGAGUACAACUGGGGCACUCUGGCCAACGGCCGGCCAAGCACCCAACAUCCGAGAGAGAUCCUUCUUGAUCAUCCAGCCCACCGGAGAAUCGCAGGCGCGUGAGCAAGCACGCCAAAGAAGCCAUACUCAGCCAACACGCCAGAUUGACAGCUAAAUAACAUAGGAAGGUCACAAACCACAGACGUGAAGAGUUUCUUUAUGGCGAGCAGGGAGGGACAAACAGCACUGCCUCAUCGAAGACCUACGGCAACGAGGCACCACCAGGACCACAUGUGGUAUAGAUCACUCAAGGUGGCCACUGGGAAUAAGACAGAGAAACAGCAGAGUCAGGCCUGGGAGGCAGAUCUGCCCCCAUUCCCCAGCUGGAGGCUCGUUGUUACGGGAGAAGAACAACACUGUCUGGGUGGAGGGAAGGCAUCCGAGCGUGCACCUUAGAGCCCUCCUGGACAGCAGAAGCUUGGAUGGCGCCUCCCUCCGAGAGCAGCUUCUGUGCCUUCCUUCGAGCGCCUGGCUUACCUGGCUAACAUGGGCUCGCCUCAAAGACACGGAGGCUCCUUGGCGAGCUCCUGGAACACAGAGCUUGGACUCUCAUUUCUAUCUGCGUGAUCUCCACCUCCCAGGCUCCUGUGUGCCCCAGGCUUGGCCUUAUCCGGCCCCUUAUUCGGCCUCGGGGCUGCCUCACCCCUAGAUACCUGCCCUCGAUUCUGUCCUCUGCCCCCCUACAUCCUUCUCAGGCCCAGAACCUUCCACGUGUACCUCUCCACAGGCCAUUCCAAUGCUUUUUGCCUUCCUCUCAGGACGCCUAUGGAUGCCCUUUGAAUAGUCACAGAAGCUCCCUUCCUCCAAAAAGCCUCCCCUCUCUCCCUCCACUGAGUCACAAAGUCUCUGAGCACGAGGGCCCCUCUGGAGAUGCCAUGCCCAAGAGCAGGCAUCUCUUCUUUCCUCGUGCCCUCCUUCCUGUCUUCUGGAGACAGGGCCCUCGUCGUCGUUUUCCUCCUUGCCCUCCUUUACCUACCGCCUGCCUCGAGCUUGGGAAUGGGGUGUCCAGGGACUCCCCGUGAUCGACGACGGCAGACCGCGGGGCAGCCGCGACACAACUGGAACGAAUCGACCGAGGCCGAAUGCUAACUGCCUCUGGCCACCUCUCCUCUUGGGCCUCUCUCUCAGGCCCCAGAAACACUAAAGGUUCAGGUCCUAAAAAUCCGAACUCCCGGGCCCACGAAUCAUCAUUUCCAGCCUGAAAGAGGCACCCAACCCAAUCUAAUACUCCUGUAUUCCUGGGCAUAGCAUGGUCAUUAAAGCUGCCCUCCCUCCUGAACUCAGGGCGCUUUCACUGCUGCUCUCCUCUGACCGUCCCGUGAGUGGUGGUCCAAUAAAUGGUCCAGGAGGCUCAAAGGGAGACCUGGGUGUUCCCUGGACCUGUGGGUCACUGGCGGUUCAUUCUGGGCUCCGGAUCCAAAGGAGCUGGGGGUAGGUUUCAGCCCCCAAAGUGGAGGCCAGACCUCCCACAUCCAACAACCACAAGUCAGAGAUUGCUACGGUGAACAGAAGCGGCCUGAGCCCCGAUGUGCCCACACGUGUCCCAGAUGGGAUUUUCCCUCCCAGAAGAAACUGCCCAGAGCCUGUUCUUUUGAAAGGCUUGUCUUUCUCGGGGAGCCUGGGUGGCGCAGUCGGUUAAGCAUCCGACUUCAGCCAGGUCACGAUCUCGCGGUCCGUGAGUUCGAGCCCCGC